rnacentral:rRNA from 1 species
UGCGUAGGCGGGCCUAUAAGUCAGCGGUGAAAGACUGUCGCUCAACGAUAGCAUUGCCGUUGAUACUGUAGGCCUUGAGUAUAUUUGAGGUGGGCGGAAUGUGUAGUGUAGCGGUGAAAUGCUUAGAUAUUACACAGAACACCAAUUGCGAAGGCAGCUCACUAAACUGUAACUGACGCUGAGGCACGAAAGCGUGGGGAUCAAACAGGAUUAGAUACCCUGGUAGUCCACGCCGUAAACUAUGAUCACUGGAUGUAUGUGAUAUACAAUAUGCGUCUGAGUAAAAGCAUUAAGUGAUCCACCUGGGGAGUACGUCGGCAACGAUGAA